AGAGUUUGAUCCUGGCUCAGAACGAACGCUGGCGGCGUGGAUAAGACAUGCAAGUCGAACGGGAUAUUGUUUGUAGCAAUACAAGCGAUGUCCAGUGGCGUAAGGGUGCGUAACACGUGGGCAACCUGCCGAGAAGUGGGGGAUAGCUCGCCGAAAGGCGAAUUAAUACCGCAUGUGGCUAGGGAAGACAUCUUCCCGACGCCAAAGCCGGGGCAACCUGGCGCUUCUUGAUGGGCCCGCGGCCUAUCAGCUAGUUGGUGAGGUAACGGCUCACCAAGGCUAUGACGGGUAGCUGGUCUGAGAGGACGACCAGCCACACUGGAACUGAGACACGGUCCAGACACCUACGGGUGGCAGCAGUCGAGAAUUUUUCUCAAUGGGGGAAACCCUGAAGGAGCGACGCCGCGUGGAGGAUGAAGGUCUUCGGAUUGUAAACUCCUGUCAUUGGGGAACAAGUGCCGGCAAUUAACUACUGCCGGCUUGAUAGUACCUGAAGAGGAAGAGACGGCUAACUCUGUGCCAGCAGCCGCGGUAAUACAGAGGUCUCAAGCGUUGUUCGGAUUCAUUGGGCGUAAAGGGUGCGUAGGUGGCGCCGUAAGUCAGGUGUGAAAUCUCGGGGCUUAACCCCGAAACUGCACUUGAUACUGCGGUGCUCGAGUACUGGAGAGGAGAUUGGAAUUUACGGUGUAGCAGUGAAAUGCGUAGAUAUCGUAAGGAAGACCAGUGGCGAAGGCGAAUCUCUGGACAGUUACUGACACUGAGGCACGAAAGCCAGGGGAGCAAACGGGAUUAGAUACCCCGGUAGUCC
rnacentral:rRNA from 1 species